rnacentral:misc_RNA from 1 species
GAUGAAGAACGCAGCGAAAUGCGAUAAGUAGUGUGAAUUGCAGAAUUCAGUGAAUCAUCGAAUCUUUGAACGCACAUUGCGCCCCUCGGUAUUCCGUGGGGCAUGCCUGUUCGAGCGUCAUUUCACCACUCAAGCCUCGCUUGGUAUUGGGCAACGCGGUCCGCCGCGUGCCUCAAAUCGACCGGCUGGGUCUUCUGUCCCCUAAGCGUUGUGGAAACUAUUCGCUAAAGGGUGUUCGGGAGGCUACGCCGUAAAACAACCCCAUUUCUAAGGUUGACCUCGGAUCAGGUAGGGAUACCCGCUGAACUUAAGCAUAUCAAUAAGCGGAGGA